rnacentral:rRNA from 1 species
CCUACGGGGAGCUGCAGUGAGGAAUAUUGGUCAAUGGCCGAGAGGCUGAACCAGCCAAGUCGCGUGAGGGAAGACGGCCCUACGGGUUGUAAACCUCUUUUGUCGGGGAGCAAAGCGAACCACGUGUGGUUCAUUGAGAGUACCCGAAGAAAAAGCAUCGGCUAACUCCGUGCCAGCAGCCGCGGUAAUACGGAGGAUGCGAGCGUUAUCCGGAUUUAAUGGGUUUAAAGGGUGCGCAGGCGGAGGUGCAAGGCCGCGGUCAAAUUGCGGGGCUCAACCCCGUACUGCCGGUGAAACUGCAUCCCUUGAGUGCGCGAGAAGUAUGCGGAAUGAGUGGUGUAUCGGUGAAAUGCAGAGAUAUCACGCAGAA